GGUAAGAUGGCCGAGCGUAUAGGCGGCGGGCUGUAAACCUGCCCAGGGGGUUAGACUCCCCUUUUACCA
rnacentral:tRNA from 1 species